UGUCGUCAGCUCGUGUCGUGAGAUGUUGGGUUAAGUCCCGCAACGAGCGCAACCCCUAUUGUUAGUUGCCAUCAUUAAGUUGGGCACUCUAACGAGACUGCCGGUGAUAAACCGGAGGAAGGUGGGGAUGACGUCAAAUCAUCAUGCCCCUUAUGACCUGGGCUACACACGUGCUACAAUGGAUGGUACAACGAGUCGCGAGACAGUGAUGUUUAGCUAAUCUCUUAAAACCAUUCUCAGUUCGGAUUGUAGGCUGCAACUCGCCUACAUGAAGUCGGAAUCGCUAGUAAUCGCGGAUCAGCACGCCGCGGUGAAUACGUUCCCGGG
rnacentral:rRNA from 1 species